rnacentral:rRNA from 1 species
UAAGCGGAGGAAAAGAAACUAACAAGGAUUCCCUUAGUAGCGGCGAGCGAAGCGGGAUGAGCUCAAAUUUGAAAUCUGGCGUCUUUCAGGCGUCCGAGUUGUAAUCUAUAGAAGCGUUUUCUGUGCUGGACCAUGUCCAAGUCCCUUGGAACAGGGUAUCAAAGAGGGUGACAAUCCCGUACUUGACAUGACCACCAGUGCUCUGUGAUACGUUUUCGACGAGUCGAGUUGUUUGGGAAUGCAGCUCAAAAUGGGUGGUAAAUUCCAUCUAAAGCUAAAUAUUGGCGAGAGACCGAUAGCGAACAAGUACCGUGAGGGAAAGAUGAAAAGCACUUUGGAAAGAGAGUUAAACAGUACGUGAAAUUGUUGAAAGGGAAACGAUUGAAGUCAGUCGUGUCUAUUGGUUUCAGCCGGUCCUGCCGGUGUAUUACCUUUAGACGGGUCAACAUCAGUUUUGGACGGCAGAUAAGAGCAGUUUGAAUGUAGCACCUCCGGGUGUGUUAUAGCUUUCUGUUGCAUGUGCUGUCCGAGACUGAGGACUGCAGCUCGCCUUUCACAGGCCGGGGUUCGCCCACGUUCGAGCUUAGGAUGUUGACAUAAUGGCUUUAAACGACCCGUCUUGAAACACG